rnacentral:rRNA from 1 species
CGUGUAGGCGGUUUGGUAAGUCAGAUGUGAAAUCCCUGGGCUCAACCCAGGAAGUGCAUUUGAUACUGCCUCACUAGAGUAUGGGAGAGGAGAGUGGAAUUCCCAGUGUAGAGGUGAAAUUCGUAGAUAUUGGGAGGAACACCCGUGGCGAAGGCGACUCUCUGGACCAAUACUGACGCUGAGACGCGAAAGCGUGGGGAGCAAACAGGAUUAGAUACCCUGGUAGUCC